rnacentral:rRNA from 1 species
UAUGGGGGGUGCAAACGUUGCUCGGAAUUAUUGGGCGUAAAGCGCACGUAGGCGGUCCUGUAAGUCGGGUGUGAAAGCCCCAGGCUUAACCUGGGAAGUGCACUCGAAACUGUAGGGCUUGAGUAUGGAAGAGGGUCUCGGAAUUCCCGGUGUAGAGGUGAAAUUCGUAGAUAUCGGGAGGAACACCAGUGGCGAAGGCGGAGACCUGGGCCAAUACUGACGCUGAGGUGCGAAAGCGUGGGGAGCAAACAGG